AACACGAUUACAAUUAAUGCGACACACAUGACUUUAAACUACUACUUCAACUAGAGAUGUGUGAGUAAUGAAUUAGCGACAGCUUUGAAUCCUCUGCUUAUAAUUUAAAGUACCAGCCUUUAGUUGAUGUCUGAUUGUGAUAUACUAAAUAAGUCCUAGGAUCAAAGAACCACAUACUGUUUUUGAUACUAGACCUAUCAUUGAUAGUUUCCCAUUUAAUUUACCUAACACUAGGAUAAUGUAUCCAAAUUCAUGUAAUAAAAACAAGCACAAGAGAGACCAUUCAUAUAUUAAUGUUGAUAAUAAAAUAAAAUCAUAGCCAGAGUCCAUGUAAACUAGAUGCACAAAACUGUUAUCUUUUUUUUUCUGCACUCCACUUUUAGGAAAGAAAAAAGAUGAUAUUGGAAAAGGUGAACUGACACCAGGGAUUAAUCCAAAAGUAUCUUUCAGAAAAGAGCUCAGUAAGAAAAAGUCCAAUUUCUUGUGUUUCCCACACCUCCUCUCAACACUGACUUUGCUAGACUGGCUAUUACUCCCCUUAUGGAAUUGUGACAGAUCAACAAGGCUUAUACCUCGGGCACUGAGGACAUUGCCUUACACAACGUAAACAACCAAUUGGAUUAAUCAACAAAAGCUCCAAGAAAAUUGAAGCUCAGAGAGGCUACAUCACUUGACCAAAUUUACGCAGCUAAGUGGAAGAGCAUUCCAAAGCCAGCUGCCCUUCACCAUGCAGAGUUGAGCCGUGUGACUUCCUCUACAAUACCAGCACAGAUCAUCACACUAGUCUCCUUUCAGCAGGGACUUAGCACAGUUGAGGGCACAGAGUAGGAACUCACAAAAUGUUUUGAUCGGUUGUUUCAUGUUAGCUCCAGGCACAUGAAUGGGGAUUUAGAACAAAAGGACAAUGGGUCCCCUAUAUAUGCUUCUUCAUCAUCAUCAUCAUCAUCAUCAUCAUCAUCAUG